rnacentral:lncRNA from 1 species
AACAGAACAACACCUGAUGACCCAGCAGUACUGAAGAUCAAUGACUGAACUACAAACCACGCUGGACCUGUGGUGUGGUUCUACAUUUUCAAGUUGUUCAUGGCUACAGCUGAAAAGAAAAGAAAAGAAAAGAAAAGAAAAGAAAAGAAAAGAAAAGAAAAGAAAAGAAAAGAAAAGAAAAGAAAAGAAAAGAAAAGAAAAGAAAAGAAAAGAAAAGAAAAGGAAAGAAAAGGAAAGAAAAGGAAAGUGAACUUGUCAAGUAAUGUAUUUGACAUUAAGAGAGUGAAAACCAAAAUGAACAAAAAAUGUCUUUCCAGUAGCAGUGAGUUCUUUUUUCUUGAAGAUUCAAAUGAGUACCUCCUUUUUUUGCAUUCAAAGCAUUAUUUUGUCAAGAAAAGCAGCCAGUUUGAGACAAGGAAAGAGAAGAAAAGAUGACAAGCAGCUAGAAGACGGAAGUAUUCCCACUGAGUGGUACUCAAAUGAACUAAAUGUUGAUGUCUUCUCAUCCAAUGAACUAUCACAGCAGACAAAUAGCAUUCAUUCACCAUAAUUAGUACUCCAAGGUGUCAAGGUUUUGGAAGGAGUGUUGUGUAGGGG